rnacentral:rRNA from 1 species
CGUGAGAUGUUGGGUUAAGUCCCGCAACGAGCGCCAACCCUGCAUUCAGUUGCCAUCGGUAAGGCCGGGCACUCUGGAUGGACUGCCGGCGACAAGCCGGAGGAAGGUGGGGACGACGUCAAGUCAUCAUGGCCCUUAUGUCCAGGGCGACACACGUGCUACAAUGGCCGGCACAACGGGAAGCGAAGGGCGACCCUGAGCGGAUCCCACAAAAGCCGGUCUCAGUUCGGAUUGCAGUCUGCAACUCGACUGCAUGAAGUUGGAAUCGCUAGUAAUCGUGGAUCAGCCAAGCCGCGGUGAAUACGUUCCCGGGCCUU